rnacentral:rRNA from 1 species
GAACGCUAGCGGCAGGCUUAAUACAUGCAAGUCGUGGGGCAGCAUGAGUAGCAAUACUUGAUGGCGACCGGCAAACGGGUGAGGAACACGCACACAACCUUCCUUCAAGCGGGGAAUAGCCCAGAGAAAUUUGGAUUAAUACCCCAUAAUAUAUUUGAUAAGGCAUCUUAUUAAUAUUAAAGCUUCGGCACUUGAUGAUGGGUGUGCGGCUGAUUAGAUAGUUGGCGGGGUAACGGCCCACCAAGUCUACGAUCAGUAGCUGAUGUGAGAGCAUGAUCAGCCACACGGGCACUGAGACUCGGGCCCGACUCCUACGGGAGGCAGCAGUAAGGAAUAUUGGACAAUGGACGAAAGUCUGAUCCAGCCAUGCCGCGUGAAGGAUUAAGGUCCUCUGGAUUGUAAACUUCUUUUAUAUGGGACGAAAAAAGGGCAUUCUUGUUCACUUGACGGUACCAUAUGAAUAAGCACCGGCUAACUCCGUG